GACGAACGCUGGCGGCGUGCUUAACACAUGCAAGUCGAACGGAAAGGCCCUGCUUUUGUGGGGUGCUCGAGUGGCGAACGGGUGAGUAACACGUGAGUAACCUGCCCUUGACUUUGGGAUAACUUCAGGAAACUGGGGCUAAUACCGGAUAGGAGCUCCUGCUGCAUGGUGGGGGUUGGAAAGUUUCGGCGGUUGGGGAUGGACUCGCGGCUUAUCAGCUUGUUGGUGGGGUAGUGGCUUACCAAGGCUUUGACGGGUAGCCGGCCUGAGAGGGUGACCGGCCGUGUUGGGCCGGUGACGCGGCGGAGAACCGUGGUGGGGGGAGAGGGGGGGAACGUCCACGAGGGGGGGAGCGCGUGAGGCAGCGCGGCGGCGUGCUGGCAGACGGCGGCGGGGGUGUAACCAGUGUUCGCGUGGGACAAGGGUUGGGUGAUGUAAAGGGGAAAAGAAGCACCGCCUAACUACGCGCGACGGGACCGGGACUGAUAGAAGAGCCCGUGUGGAAC
rnacentral:rRNA from 1 species